rnacentral:rRNA from 1 species
UACGUAGGGACCAAGCGUUGUCCGGAAUCAUUGGGCGUAAAGAGCGUGUAGGCGGCUUGUUAAGUCUUGCGUGAAAUCUCGGGGCUCAACCCCGGAGCGGCUCGUGGGAAACUGGUUGGCUAGAGUGCGGAGAGGAGAGGUGGAAUUCCUGGUGUAGCGGUGAAAUGCGCAGAUAUCAGGAGGAACACCGGUGGCGAAGGCGGCUUGCUGGGCCAGUUCUGACGCUGAGGAGCGAAAGCGUGGGGAGCAAACAGG